GGCAUUCUAGGCCAAGGGGUCACAGUCCACCCUGAACUGUGCCUCCCAGCCUGAAGCCAGAAAGCUCAGGGAGGCUAGCGGCCCUGCCCAGGCCUCAGCACUGACCCUGCACCCCUAGGCCCAGCUGGAUGACCCCUAAGAGCUUCCUGGAAUUUGGAUGCAGGGUUAUUCUGUGUGUGCUGCCUCUCAGAGCAUGUCACUUUGACGUGGACAUCUCGGGUCUGGUUCUGGUGCUGUCCCUGUCUCGCCACGUGACCCUGGAUAAGUCAUCUCUCCAGGCCUUGAUUUCCCCAUCUGUAAACAGAGGAACCCAAGGAACGAGUGGGCUCUAACUGCUGCAGCAUAUGGGAGAUGCCAGGAGGAGCUGGCUGUGGCAGGCCAUCCCAGUCCAUCAGACAACUUGUAGUGGAUGAAGAUGCAGUGUCCAUGGCCAGAAGAAACUCCCGUGGAUGCUCAGGCCAAGGCUGCCAGAAGCACGAGGAGGGGCAGCAUUGAGUGUCAUCGGGAAAAGGCAAAGUGAUGGUCCUGAAGCUGCCCCAUGUGGCCAGUCCCUUUUUGGGAAGCCUGAAUAAAUCCAUUUCCUGUGCACUGUGUGGGAAGCCAACCCCUCUUCAGAGCACCUCUGAACUCAACAGGAUCCUACACUUCUUAUAGGCCUGGCUUGAUGCUGACAUCCUUCAGCCCCAGGGAAGACCUAAAGAUCUCCAGGUCUUGAGGCACCUGGAACACCUCCACCUGAGACCACUUUAACAUGAUUUCUCUGCUUGAGGGAUUUUGGACCAUGCUGUGUGUAUUCAGCCCUAAAACAUGGGCGAGUGCCCGCUUGCAGUUCAAAUUCUCAGAGGAAGUUCCCUGUACUCCACCCAGUGCCAAGUUUAGUUUGUGCAAAUUUCCUUAAUGUCCCCUCCUGUACAACAGGCUUAUUUGGUGUUAACCCUCAUAUCGGGGGUCUAACUCUUUGCUUUUCCAGCUUUUGUGCUGGAAUAUCCCAUUAAACUGUCCAUGUUGGGUAUUUUUUCUUUGUUAGUAAACAUUUGUUGCAUAUUGUUGAUAGCAUUUUAGAUUUGAAGAAAUAACUGACAAAAUCAAUAUCAUCUGUUUCAUCAUUA